GGUGGCUCGUGGGUAUCCUAGGCAGAGGGUGCCACCUAUCAGCUUCAGGAUCAUAAGCAACCCAUUGAUUCUCAGAUCCUCCAGUCAGAACAAAUAACCAGUUACCAGACCAACCUUCUCUAGCUUUAUAAUUGGAAUAUUCUGCACUAUGGAAUAGCUUCCUCCAUCGCCUACUUACUGUUUCAAGAAUGCCAUGAUAUCCGUG
rnacentral:misc_RNA from 1 species